AUUUAAAUAGUGUAAGUUAACACUUAACUUUUUCAUUGUUACAAUCCUAAGAGGUUUAAAUU
rnacentral:tRNA from 1 species